rnacentral:rRNA from 1 species
UACGACUACAUAUCAGGCAUAUCAAUAAGCGGAGGAAAAGAAACUAACAAGGAUUCCCUUAGUAACGGCGAGUGAAGCGGGAAGAGCUCAAAUUUGAAAUCUUCAAGGUUCUACCUUGACGAAUUGUAGUUUAAAGAAGUGUUUUCUGUUAGAAGUUGAGUACAAAGUUCCUUGGAAUAGGACAUCAUAGAGGGCUGAGAAUCCCGUAUUUGACCAUUACUUUCCAGCUGUGUGAUACACUUUCAAAGAGUCGGAUUGUUUGGGAAUGCAGUCCAAAAUGGGUGGUAAAUUUCAUCUAAAGCUAAAUAUUGGCGAGAGACCGAUAGCGAACAAGUACCGUGAGGGAAAGAUGAAAAGAACUUUGAAAAGAGAGUUAAACAGUACGUGAAAUUGUCAAAAGGGAAGCGUUUGACACCAGUGUUGUUUUUCUCGAAAAUCAAUUAACGAAUGGCUUGAUUUUGUGUUGUAUUGACCUUAUCAGCUUUCUUCACUCUUUUCGAGUCUUUCUUAAUGCACUUUUCGGUUAACAAGUCAACAUCAGUUCCUUUUGUUGUAAAAGAGUAUUCGGAAGGUGGCUUUCUUUUCGGAGAAAGUGUUUAUAGCCCUGAUACUUCUAGCAAUCGGAGAGAUUGAGGUCUGCAGCGUAGAUCCUUCGGGGUUAGAUACAUUUGUGCUAAGUUAUAACUUUUCAUAGACAACUUGUUGACUAUGUUCAGUCAUGUCGCUUACUCGCUUAUGCUAUUUUACCUACGCUUAGGAUGUUGAGUAGCGACAUACGCAC